AUGGCGACAUUAGUCCGUCAUGACUCGAAUAAUACACGGUACUCAUGGCUGUGGGUUAGCCAUAUCAGCCCUAAGAACUCCAAGUGGCUUCAGGAGAAUCUUACUGACAUGGAUAUGAUGGUCAAGGCGAUGAUAAAACUUAUCAAUGAAGAUGCUGACUCUUUUGCAAGGAGAGCAGAAAUGUACUAUAAAAAACGCCCUGAGCUCAUGAAACAUGUGGAAGAGUUUUACAGAGCAUACCGUGCCUUAGCAGAAAGGUACGAUCAAGCAACUGGUGCACUCCGGCAGGCCCAUCGGACAAUUUCAGAAGAGUUUCCAAAUCAGAUGCCAUCAAUGUCUGAGGACUCGCCCUCCUCAAGCCAAGAAGGGGAGCCACGUACACCAGAAAUGCUGACACCCUUGCGUGCACCUUUUGAACCUGAUGAUCUGCACAGGGAUGCACUUGGUGUUUCACCACCGCUAUUUACUGUCAAGAGGAAUGGUACACACCCUGAUGAAAUAGGUUCUUUAUCAAGUCGCAAAGGUCUCAAGCAGUUCACUGAUUUGUUUGAAAGCUGUGAUAGUGCCCAUCGUGUCAAUUUCGCUGAUGGGAAAGUAAGAAAAGGCCUCAGUUUUGAAAGCCCAGAUGCUAAAGGGAAACAAGAUGCAAGUGAUGAUAUCAUGAAUUUGCAAAAUGAAAUUUCCAAAUUAUUAGCAGAGAGCCAAAGUCUGAAGCAACAAGUUUCAUCUGAGUCUCAGCGGGCAGACAAUUCUGAGAAUGAAUGCCAAAGCCUUAAGGACAUCAUCUCAUGUUUGAUUUCUGAGAAAGACAAAGCCCUUGUGCAGUACAGCGAAUCCACCAAAAGAUUGUCUGCUUUAGAGACUGAGCUCUCUAAGGCACACAACGAACUCAAGAAACUCUCUGAUCAUAUGGACAGGGAAGUUCAGAAUCUAAACAGUGCCGAAUCAUGUAACAACACAAUGCAAUCCGAGCUUGAAACUCUGGGCCAGAAGAUCAUGAUGCAGCAGCAAGAACUUGCACAAAAUAGAAAAGAUCUGGUGGAUUCAAAGAGUAAAUUCGAGAGUGAGAUCCACUCCCUGAGGAGCACUGUCUCACAAAUAAAUACUGAGAAAGAUGUGGCUCUACUACAACAUCAGCAGUGUAUUGAGGAGGUUUCUGAUCUGGAAUCCAAGCUCUUGAAGUCACAAUCAGAGCAGGAGAAGAUUGAACUGAAGGUACAAUUGCUGGUGCAAGAACUUGAACAUAAGAGAGAAGAGGCUGGUGCCAUACAUACUCGGCUGCAGGAUGAACACUUCAAUUACAUGCAAAAGGAAGCAGCUCUUCUUGCAAUGGAAGACCUGCAUUCCCAGUCUCAGGAAGAGGUUAAAAGGCUGGCACAAGAUCUUGAAUACUCCAACAAGAAAUUGAGUGAUUUGGAAGCUCAACUUCUGUUUGCACAAUCAGAAACGGAGAAGAUUGCAAGUAAAGCCCAGAUACUGGAGCAAGAACUUGUAUGCAAGACCGAGGAAGUCAGUAUCCUUCAAAGUAGUUUGCACAAGGAAGGGAAGAAGUGCAUGCUUGCUGAAACAACUCUUCUCAGAGUGGAGAACCUACAUCUGCAGUCCCAGGAAGAAGCCAAGACACUAGCACAAAAUCUUGAAACCUUAAGCGAGAAGCUUAGUGAGGCUGAAAAUGAUAGGUUGAAUCUGCAGAACAUUUCACGAGAACUCAAGAACACCAUUUUGGAGAUGGAUUCUGAGAAAAAUGCAAUGCUACUUCAACAGCAGCAGUCCUUACAGAGACUUUCUUAUUUAGAAGCACAUCUUUUCGAUGUACAGUCAGAUCUGGAUAAAAAUAAGGAGAAAGUCCAUUUGCUGGAACAAGAACUGAAACACCACAAAGAAGUGGUGGAUGGCCUUCACAAUAAUUUGGAGGAGGAAGGCCAUAAACGGAUGCAUGCCGAAGCAGAACUUAGGGUGGUGGCAAACCUGCAUUCUGAAUCUCAGGAAGAAGUGGGUAAGCUUGUUAUGGAUCUUCAAAAGUUAAACGAUGAGUUAAGUGAAGUGCAGGACAGCAAUCUGAUUGUGGAGGACUUAUUGUGUGAACUUAUGAACACCAUCUCUGUUUUGAAUACCGAGAAAGAUGCAGCACUUCUUCAACUGCAGCUGUCCUUAGAAAGAGUAACCGAUCUGAAGUCAGAAGUCUCGGAGACACAGUUGGAGGCAGAGAAAACUGAGGAGAAGUUGCAGGUACUGGAGCAAGAAUUUGCUCAGAAGAAUGUCAUGGUGGAUUUUCUGCAGUCAAGUCUGCAAGAUGAGGGCAAGAAACGUGUGGAAGCUGAGACAUUGCUCAUGUCAAAAGAGAAUCAAUACUUCCAAUCACAGGACGAAGUAAAUAGAUUGGCCCUGGAGAAUGAGGCACUGAACAGAAAGUUGAAUGAGAUGGAGAACCUGUCUUUCGAGCUUAAGAACACCAUCUUGCUGCUGAAUUCCGAGAAAGACGCAACUCUUCUUCAGCACAAGCAGUCCUUGGUAAAAAUAUCUGAUCUGGAAUCUAAGUUUUCAGUGGUGCAGGUUGAACUGCAGAAUGCUGAACAAAAAGUGCAAAUGCUUGAUAAAGAACUUGAGCAGAAGAAAGAAGAGUUUGAUAGCUUGCAGACUAGUCUGAAAGAUGAAGCCCAAAAGAAUGCUGAGGGUGAAACAGCUCUUCUCACGAUAACUAAUCUAUAUUCUAGUUCUCAAGAAGAAGUGAACAGGUUAGCACUUGAGAUUAACAAGCUGAACAGAAAGUUGAAUGAAGUGGAAAACGUGUCUUCCGAGCUCAAGAACACCAUCUUGCUGCUGAAUACCGAAAAGGACACAGCUCUUCUUCAGCACAAGCAGUCCUUGGUGAGAGUAUCUGAUCUGGAAUCUCAACUCUCUGAAAUGCAGGCUGAACUAGAGAAUUCUGAACAAAAAGUGCAAAUGCUUGAUGACGAACUCGAGCAGAAGAAAGAAGAGGUCGAUAGCUUGCAGACUAGUCUGAAAGAUGAAGCCCGAAAGCAUGCUGAGGGUGAAGCAGCUCUUCUCACAAUAACUAAUUUAUAUUCUAAUUCUCAGGAAGAAGUGAACAGGUUAGCCAUUGAGAUUAACAAGCUGAACAGAAAGUUGAAUGAAGUGGAAAACGUGUCUUUGGAGCUCAAGAACACCAUCUUGCUGCUGAAUACCGAGAAGGACACAACUCUUCUUCAGCACAACCAGUCCUUGGUGAGAGUAUCUGAUCUGGAAUCUAAACUCUCUCAAGUGCAGACUGAACUAGAGAAUACUGAACAAAAAGGGCAAAUGCUUGAUAAAGAACUCAAGCAGAAGAGAGAAGAGGUGGAUACCUUGCAGACUAGUCUGAAAAAUGAAGCCCGAAAGAAUGCCGAGGGUGAAGCAGCUCUUCUCACAAUAACUAAUCUAUAUUCUAAUUCUCAGGAAGAAGUGAACAGGUUAGCCCUUGAGAUUAACAAGCUGAACAGAAAGUUGAAUGAAGUGGAAAACAUGUCUUCGGAGCUUAAGAACACCAUUUUGCUGCUGAAUACCGAAAAGGAAGCAGCUCUUCUUCAGCACAAGCAGUCCUUGGCGAGAGUAUCUGAUGUAGAAUCUGAACUCUCUGAAGUGCAGGCUGAACUAGAGAAUUCUGAACAAAAAGGGCAAAUGCUUGAUAAAGAACUCAAACAGAAGAGAGAAGAGGUGGAUACCUUGCAGACUAAGCUGAAAGAUGAAGCACAUAAGCACAUUGAAGCUGAAGCAUCUCUUCUUAUGAUGACAAAUAUGCAUUCUCAGUCUCAGGAAGAAGUCAGUGGGUUGGUUUUGAAGAUCGAGAGGCUGAAUGAUAAAUUGAAUGAGAUGGAGAGCAGUAAGUUGGACCUUGAGAGCAUGAUAUCCAAGCAUGCAGAGGACAACCGUAUCCUUGGUGAACAAAAUCUUUCUUCUGAAUUAACUAUCAGUGGCCUUCACGAUGAACUGGACAUGUUGAAGGAAAUGAAAGUGAAUCUAGAGAAUGAAGUGGGGCUCCACAUUGGUGACAGGGAGGUACUUCAAAGUCAACUGACCCAUCAGAAGAAAGAGACAGAAAUUCUGGAGAAGCAGUACUGUUCACUGGAACAUGAGAUGGAGGCAGUAAACAGAAGUGCAGCCGCACUCCAGCAGUUACUCGAGGAAAAAACAUGUGAGGCGGAGAAGCUGUCAGACGAGUGUUUGAUGUUGAAGAAAUCAUUUUCAAAUGCAAUUGUUGAAACUGAAGCCCUGAAGGAGAUCAUAAAAGAACUGGAAGCUUCACAAAGCUCUCUGAAAUAUGAUGUUUGCUUGCAUAGUUCUGAGAAGGAUGCUCUGGCACGGGAACUACAUAUCCUCAAUAAAAAAUAUGCUGAUAUUUCGGAGCAAAAGUCCAUGUUGGAGAUUUCAUUCUCUAAUGUGAAUUCUGAGAUAGGAGAACUGAGAAUGAAGUUAAAAGAUUCAGAAGAACUGUCCCGGUCUUAUCUUGCCAAUAACUCUGCUCUUCUUGCUGAAAAGGACAAUAUUCUGGUCCAGCUGGAGAGCGCUACACUGGCUAUGAAAUCUCUGGAGGAUGAGCAUGCUGAUCUGGGAGGCAAGAACUCAUCCUUGUUAGCAGAGAAAGACCUCUUAUAUAGUCAACUUGAGAAUCUACAAGAUCAGGUGGAAAUUAGAAAUGAACAGCAUGAAGCUUUGCUCAGGUUGCACCAAAUACAGAUAAAUGACUUUGAAGCGACAGUUUCUUCCCUGCAAGAGAAAAUCUGUCAUAUGGGCGAGGUGCUUGAUCAAGAGCUACAAGAAUGUACAGAUGCUUCUAUCAGUGCAUUGAUCUUGAAUAGUAGUUUGGCUGAUGUUAAAGACAAAAACUUUGCUCUUUUUGAUGAAUGCCAGAAGUUCAUAAAGGCUGCUCAUUCUGCAGAGGUAGUAAUAUCACGGCUCAAGGAGGAAGCCAAAAAUGAAGAAGAGGAGAGGAAAGUAUUGCUGAAACACAAUAAGGAACUAAGGGAGGGAAUCUCACAGCAAAUAAAGAUCCUCAAUGUCUGCAAGGACUUAGGACGUCCUGGUGUGAUUCAUGAUGAAAUUAUGCUGCAGACUUUGUCUCGUGAAACUUGCAACCAUGUAAAGCAUAAAGAGGAGAGUGAACAUAGAAAUGUCUUCAUGGAGGCUGAGCUAUCUGUUCUUGGAACAAUUCUUACAGAAAUAGUCAUUGACUUCAGAGAUCUGCACUUGCAGAAGUGUGAACUUGAGAAAGAAGUGGAGGCAGGUGCAGCAGAAUUGCUUUUUACGCGGAAUGAAAAUCACAAGCUUAUUGAGCUGAAUGAACAGAUGGGGCAAAGGUUGCAGCAAGGUAGUGAAAAGGAGGAGACGUUGAUCAUUGAACUCACCAAUGGCAUGACACGGUUAAUGCAGAAGGAUGAUGAGCUACACAAGGCAGAUGAGAAGAACCAAUUCUUGCAGGAGACAAACCAGGAAUUGUGGAGAGUUCUCAGGGAUCUUGAGGCUUCUGCUGAAGAUGCAAAAGGUGAACUUGAGGAGAAAAUCGCAGCGCUAACUGAACAAGGUGCUGUUAGGGAUAAUGAUUAUCUUCUUCUUUGCGAAGCUAACGUGGCGUUGCAAGGAGAUGUUGACACUCGUAGGCAGAAGGAAGAGAGUUUGGUGUCUACACUUGAGAUGGUGACAAAAGAGAAUGAGCAACAUGAAAGGGAAAUUGUUUCACUCCUGAGUGAUAUGAUAACUUGUUCGGUGAAUGUCAUGAUCUAUGAGGAACAUCUACUUGAGCUGAUGAUGGAAUGCGAGGCUCUUGAGAUCAGAAUGAUCACUGAAAAGGGAAUGCUAAUGAAAGAAAUCUCCUCAAGGGAUGCUUAUGUUGAUGAGCUGCACAGAAGGAUUGCCGCCAUGGGAGCAGAAACUGCAGAACUGAAGGCAGAGAUGGGCAGAUAUCUGCCACUUUUAGCAUCUCUGUCGGAUCAGAUAAGCAUGCUGGAAGAAGGCACCCAUUUACUUUCAGAUAAAGAAGGCAAUUUGGAGCUUGUACAAGAUGACAGACGUGGUUCAGAGUUCCUAGACAUGCCAUCAGGAGUUUUAAAGUUGGACAGCUUAAUUGCAAGAGUUGAAGCACUCCGGGUUGUGAUAUUAGAUGUCAAGGACAGCCAAAAUAAGGAGUUUACUGAAUUCGCUGCUAAAUUGGAGUCGGCGAAUAUAGAAAUUCAAGAUCUUAAAUCAAGAAAAGGUUCAUGCAUUAGGCACAAGGAACAAUACAUGGAGGAUGAUAGGCAGAAAUAUGACGCCGAUAACUCCAAAGGGAAGCAAGCACAGAUCAUGAAAGAUAUCGAACUUGACCAGGUAUCUACUUGCCCGCCAUAUGGCUCUGGAGCCGCUGUCUACCCUCUUGGUGGCGAUGCAAAUGCAGAGCUUGAUGAUGAGAUGCUCCAGCUGUGGGAGACUGCUGAGAAGGAUUGCAAGAAUGGAACAGCCAAAUCCUCAUCAUCUGAACAUGACAUACAAGAGGUGGAGGAGGUGAAGAGUCAGUACACUUCCUUUGAGAUAGCAAGAGGAAGAGACCUAGGGAUCAACAGGCUUGAGAUAUCGACAGCGACCCUGGAACCUCAGCAAUUAUGGACCAAAAAUGUCCUUGAGAAGCUCGCCACCGAUGCUCAGGGGCUGCUAAUCAUCCAGGCAAGCAUCGAGGAAGUGAAGCAGAAAAUCGAGGGAACUUCCAAGGGCAAAUCUCCCAUGAGCUCGGAGUACAGCAGCAUUAGGGCUCAGCUGCAGGAGAUCGAGGGCUCUGUCUUGGAACAGAUAGGUUUCAACAGCAGUUUGACGAAGAAGGCCGAGAAUUAUCCUGCAUUCGAGGUGAACGCCGACCUAGAGGGCUAUUCCAGCAGAAGGAAGAUCUCCGAGCAGGUGCAGAAAGGGUCGGAGAAGGUCGCGAGGCUGGACCUCGAGCUCCAGAAAAUACAGUACGUGCUGCUGAAGCUCGAGGAGGAGCACGAGUUCAAGAGGGUCAAGGUCUCCGAGAAGCGUUCGCGGCUGCUCUUGAGGGACUACGUGUACGCAAAGAAGGACAAGAACGACGCCGGCCAGAAGAAGAAGAGUAGGGUGCCCUUCUGCGGCUGCGUGCGCCCCAAAACAAUGACCGAGCCUUAA
rnacentral:rRNA from 1 species